AGUAAUGUAUGGGGAUCUGCCUGAUGGCGGGGGAUAACUACUGGAAACGGUAGCUAAUAUCGCAUAAUGUCUGCGGACCAAAGCGGGGGGACCUCCGGGCCUCGCGCCAUCAGAUGAACCCAUAUGGGAUUAGCUAGUAGGUAAGGUAACGGCUUACCUAGGCGACGAUCCCUAGCUGGUCUGAGAGGAUGAUCAGCCACACUGGGACUGAGACACGGCCCAG
rnacentral:rRNA from 1 species